rnacentral:rRNA from 1 species
GAUGAACGCUGGCGGCGUGCCUAAUACAUGCAAGUCGAGCGAACAGACGAGGAGCUUUGUCCCCUGACUGAAGCGGCGGAGGGGGGAGUAACAUGUGUAUAAACUAACUAUAAGACUGGGAUAACUUCGGGAAACCGGAGCUAAGACCGGAAAAUAUAUUGAACCUCAUGGUUCAAGAGUUAAAGACGGUUUUUCUGUGGCUGAUAGAUGGAUCCGUAACGCAUUAGCUAGUAGGUAGGGUAACGGCUUAGCAAGGCGACGAUGCGUAGCCGCCCCGGACGGGAGACCGGCCACACUGGAACUGAGACACGGUCCAGACUCCUACGGGAGGCAGCAGUAGGGAAUCUUCCGCGAUGGGCGAAAGCCUGACGGAGCAACGCCGCGUGAAUGAUGAAGGUCUUCGGAUCGUAAAGCUCUGUUAGCAGGGAGGAAGAAAUGUGUAAGUACCUAUGAACGUAUUGACGGUACCUGAACAGAAAGCCACGGCUAACUCCGUG